UACGUAGGGUGCAAGCGUUUGUCCGGAAUUAUUGGGCGUAAAGAGCUCGUAGGCGGUUUGUCGCGUCGGCUGUGAAAGCCCGGAGCUCAACUCCGGGUCUGCAGUCGAUACGGGCAGACUUGAGUGUUGCAGGGGAGACUGGAAUUCCUGGUGUAGCGGUGAAAUGCGCAGAUAUCAGGAGGAACACCGGUGGCGAAGGCGGGUCUCUGGGCCGAUGACUGACGUGAGGAGCGAAAGCAUGGGUAGCGAACAGG
rnacentral:rRNA from 1 species